UACGAAGGGGGCUAGCGUUGCUCGGAAUUAUUGGGCGUAAAGCGUGCGUAGGCGGCUGCGCAAGUCGGGGUGUGAAACCCCCGGGGCUCAACCCCGGAACUGCAUCCGAUACUGCGUGGCUAGAGGUAGGUAGGGGAGAUCGGAAUUCCUGGUGUAGCGGUGAAAUGCGCAGAUAUCAGGAGGAACACCGGUGGCGAAGGCGGAUCUCUGGGCCUUACCUGACGCUCAGGCACGAAAAGCGUGGGGAGCAAAC
rnacentral:rRNA from 1 species